rnacentral:sRNA from 18 species
GCUAUUCACCAAACAGUGGACAAGACUAGACAGCUAGUUCAUUCAUUGGACAGAUAGCCAGCCAUAGCGAAAGCUACGUUUUGAGAAUCAUGACACCUACAGGUGCUUUCGGUGCUUGUAGCUCUGUC